AGCUUUGUGCAGUGGCAGUAUUGUAGCCAAUGAGCUUUACCUGAGGCAGAAUUAUUGCUAAUUGUUUUAAAAUAAAUAAAUACAAAGACAUUUAUAGAUUAAAAGUAAAUGAAUGGAGGAAAAUACACCAUGGUA